rnacentral:rRNA from 1 species
AUGGAGAUUGUGGUUCUGGUAUUUGUACGUAUUCGCAAAUUGUUCACCAGGACUGUUGUCCUCAAAGGAGGAAAUAAUAGGGAGGAUUGGAUAUGCACAGGGCAUGCCAUGGCAAUGAAGCGUACACAAUGGACAGUGAUUGCUUUAAUCCAAUUUUGCAAGCAAUCUAAAGCGAACAGACCUUGUUUCUUGCCAAAGUGGUGGCGGUUAGAGGCUGGCAGUACCUGUGGUGUGCAGUUUAAAUUAUUUAAGGAAGAUUUGAUUUUCCCCACAAAAAAAGGAAGACUUGAUUUGAUGCCUCUAACUGAUUAUAUCUUUAAUCAAUCAAUGGAUAUUGAAUAA